AUGGAGAUAGAAGCGACACCGCUGAGCCCGCAGCAGCAAGCAUACAAUGGCGGCGGUUCGGAGCAGCGGGCCGGCGCCAGCGCUAAACCACUCUACCGCAACCCCGUCGUCGUCGUCAACUUCCUCCUCAUGGCCGUCGGCACGGUGUCUGGCCCGCUCCUGUUUCGCGCCUACUUCCUCCACGGCGGCUCGCGCAAGUGGCUCACCUGCCUCCUCCAGACCGCCGCGUGGCCGCUCCUUCUCCCGCCGCUCUGCGUCUCCUUCUUCUCCCGCCGCCGCCGCCAGCGCGAGGAGAGCGCCACGGAGGCCGCUCCGCUCUCCCUCAUGUCGGGCCGCCUCCUGGCGGCCACCGUCGCCAUCGGCCUCGUGAUCGGGGUCAUCGACUUCCUCUACGCGUACGGGCUGGCUUAUCUCCCGGUGUCCACCUCCUCCAUCCUCGUCUCCACGCAGCUGGCCUUCACGGCCGUGUUCGCGCUGGUGGUGAUGCGCCAUCGGUUCACCGCCUUCUCCGUGAACGCGGUGGUGCUGCUCGUCGUGGGCGCAGCCAUGCUGGGGCUGAACGGCGGAGGGGACCGCCCCGCGGGGGUGUCCCGGGCGCAGUACUACGCCGGGUUCGCCAUGACGCUCGGGUCCGCGGCGAUGUACGGCCUCGUGCUGCCCCUCAUGGAGCUCAGCCAGGCGCAGCACGCGGCUCGCGCCGGCGCGCCGGUCACGUACACGCUCGUCUUGGAGAUCCAGAUGGUCAUCGGGAUCACGGCCACGGCCUUCAGCGCCGUCGGCAUGCUCGUGAACCGCGAAUUCCACGAAAUUCCAGAUGAAGCACGGAGGUUCGACCUCGGCGAGGCAGGCUACUACUUUAUGCUAGUUAGUUCAGCCACGGCUUUCCAGUGCUACUUCAUCGGCACGAUUGGUGCCAUCUUCUACGGCUCGGCGCUGCUCGCGGGUGUCAUCAUGACAUUGCUCAUCUCGGUCACCGAGGUGUUUGCCAUCCUUUUCUUCCAUGAGCUAUUCAAUGGCACCAAAGGUGUCGCCCUCGCGAUUUCUAUCUGGGGUUUCAUCUCCUACUUUUAUGGCGAGAUUCGGACCAAUAAGCAGCAGUCCAACAUGUCGACGGAUAAGGAGCACUUGGGCCCAUAG
rnacentral:rRNA from 1 species